GACCAUAUAGCUCAGUGGUUAGAGCUUCCAAAGUUCAUCCUUGGUGUGGUCACUUUUCUAUUUCUCACAGGUUAUGGGCCAGUGGUUAAGAGCUCCCAAGGUCCUAUUGGGUGGUCCCAAGUUCAAUCCUUGGUGUGGUCA